UUUACUGCUUAGCCAUCUCCAAAGCGACCGGUUGCUGUGCCUCUGGUGUUCCGGUUGUCCUGCCAAGGGCAUGGCCGGGUAGCUACGCACGGAAGGGAUAACCGCUGAAAGCAUCUAAGUGGGAAACCCACCUCAAGAUGAAUUUUCCCCAUGAGACUCGUGGUAGACCACCACGUUGAUAGGCUGGGUGUGGAAGCGCGGUAACGCGUGAAGCUUACCAGUACUAAUGAGUCCAUUGGCCUUCCUAU
rnacentral:rRNA from 1 species